UUCUAAAUGAAAAAUAUUUAGUAAAAUCUGCUCGAUGAAAUUAAAUUGCUGCAAUUAAUCGUACUAAGGUAGCGUAAUAAUUAGCCUUUUAAUUGAAGGCCUGUAUGAAAGAUUUAACAUGUGAACUUCUUUAUUGUAAAAAUAUUUUUAAAUUUACCUAUAAGUAAAAAGGCUUAUAUAAAUUAAAAGGACGACAAGACCCUAUUGAGCUUCACUAUAGUUGAACUGGGGUGGUAAAAAAUUAAACCUUUUAUUUACUUAAAUUUUAAUCCUUUAAAGAAGAUUUUAUUAAGUUACCAUAGGGAUAACAGCAUAAUUUUUUCUUAUAGAUCUUAUAGAAGAAAAAGAUUAUGACCUCGAUGUUGAAUAUUAACCUAUUAGGCGCAAAUUCCUAAUUAGGAAGUCUGUUCGACUUUUAAACUUUUACA
rnacentral:rRNA from 1 species